AGAGUUUGAUCCUGGCUCAGGACGAACGCUGGCGGCGUGCCUAAUACAUGCAAGUCGAACGAACUCUGGUAUUGAUUGGUGCUUGCAUCAUGAUUUACAUUUGAGUGAGUGGCGAACUGGUGAGUAACACGUGGGAAACCUGCCCAGAAGCGGGGGAUAACACCUGGAAACAGAUGCUAAUACCGCAUAACAACUUGGACCGCAUGGUCCGAGUUUGAAAGAUGGCUUCGGCUAUCACUUUUGGAUGGUCCCGCGGCGUAUUAGCUAGAUGGUGAGGUAACGGCUUACCAUGGCAAUGAUACGUAGCCGACCUGAGAGGGUAAUCGGCCACAUUGGGACUGAGACACGGCCCAAACUCCUACGGGAGGCAGCAGUAGGGAAUCUUCCACAAUGGACGAAAGUCUGAUGGAGCAACGCCGCGUGAGUGAAGAAGGGUUUCGGCUCGUAAAACUCUGUUGUUAAAGAAGAACAUAUCUGAGAGUAACUGUUCAGGUAUUGACGGUAUUUAACCAGAAAGCCACGGCUAACUACGUGCCAGCAGCCGCGGUAAUACGUAGGUGGCAAGCGUUGUCCGGAUUUAUUGGGCGUAAAGCGAGCGCAGGCGGUUUUUUAAGUCUGAUGUGAAAGCCUUCGGCUCAACCGAAGAAGUGCAUCGGAAACUGGGAAACUUGAGUGCAGAAGAGGACAGUGGAACUCCAUGUGUAGCGGUGAAAUGCGUAGAUAUAUGGAAGAACACCAGUGGCGAAGGCGGCUGUCUGGUCUGUAACUGACGCUGAGGCUCGAAAGUAUGGGUAGCAAACAGGAUUAGAUACCCUGGUAGUCCAUACCGUAAACGAUGAAUGCUAAGUGUUGGAGGGUUUCCGCCCUUCAGUGCUGCAGCUAACGCAUUAAGCAUUCCGCCUGGGGAGUACGGCCGCAAGGCUGAAACUCAAAGGAAUUGACGGGGGCCCGCACAAGCGGUGGAGCAUGUGGUUUAAUUCGAAGCUACGCGAAGAACCUUACCAGGUCUUGACAUACUAUGCAAAUCUAAGAGAUUAGACGUUCCCUUCGGGGACAUGGAUACAGGUGGUGCAUGGUUGUCGUCAGCUCGUGUCGUGAGAUGUUGGGUUAAGUCCCGCAACGAGCGCAACCCUUAUUAUCAGUUGCCAGCAUUAAGUUGGGCACUCUGGUGAGACUGCCGGUGACAAACCGGAGGAAGGUGGGGAUGACGUCAAAUCAUCAUGCCCCUUAUGACCUGGGCUACACACGUGCUACAAUGGAUGGUACAACGAGUUGCGAACUCGCGAGAGUAAGCUAAUCUCUUAAAGCCAUUCUCAGUUCGGAUUGUAGGCUGCAACUCGCCUACAUGAAGUCGGAAUCGCUAGUAAUCGCGGAUCAGCAUGCCGCGGUGAAUACGUUCCCGGGCCUUGUACACACCGCCCGUCACACCAUGAGAGUUUGUAACACCCAAAGUCGGUGGGGUAACCUUUUAGGAACCAGCCGCCUAAGGUGGGACAGAUGAUUAGGGUGAAGUCGUAACAAGGUAACCA
rnacentral:rRNA from 1 species